rfam:Ceriporiopsis subvermispora B unplaced genomic scaffold CERSTscaffold_23, whole genome shotgun sequence.
AGCAACAUGGCGCAGGGGUAGCGCGCGGGGCUCAUAUGCAUCUGAUCGAUCGGCGAUCGAUCGAUCGAUCAAUUGAAACCCCGAGGUCACUGGAUCGAAACCAGUUGUUGCUA